AAUUUUAAUACAUGAGACGCAAGGUGUCUAGCCUAUCCAAACAUAGAAUAGAAUGACUAUGUUAAAUAAAGGUUGAAUAAGCAAUUUUAAAUAAAACCAAGGAACGAGAUAAAGAUAAUACAUUAAGUUAAUGUGAAUAAAGUUAAUACAUUAAGUUCAUGUUGACAGCUCAGGAGGAGCAAAUAAAGGAAAUGGAAAGACUGGAAGUAGAAGUACCUAUUAAAUAAAUUAUUUUUAGGUUUAAUGCUUUAUAACUUUCUUUGUCAAGUUCUUACUUCUUGACAAAGCUUGAUAGCUCUUCCUCCCAUUCCUUCCUUCCGAAUCUGUGGCCUCCCAAUCUCUUCUCCUCUCAACUUUCUUUUGCUCUAGAUCUUUUAUUUAGUAGAAUGAAAAAAUAAAUUCUUGCAAGUAUACUUGGAUUGGGUAUUUAUAGGAAGCUAAGACCAAGGGCACAAUAGUCAUUACGCCGUCACUAGGAAGAGCAAAAUGUUC
rnacentral:lncRNA from 1 species